rnacentral:sRNA from 1 species
GUCGCAGGUUCGAAUCCUGCACGACCCACCAAUUUAAAGGUGGUUACUGGUAGAGAACGUGAAGGAUAACGUUGCGUUAGCAACGGCCCGAAGGGCGAGACGAAGUCGAGUCAUCCUGCACGACCCACCA